UACAGAGGGUGCGAGCGUUAAUCGGAAUUACUGGGCGUAAAGCGCGCGUAGGCGGCUUUGCAAGUCGGGUGUGAAAUCCCCAGGCUUAACCUGGGAACUGCAUUCGAGACUGCAUUGCUAGAGUAUGGGAGAGGGAGGUAGAAUUCCACGUGUAGCGGUGAAAUGCGUAGAUAUGUGGAGGAAUACCGGUGGCGAAGGCGGCCUCCUGGUUCAAUACUGACGCUGAGGUGCGAAAGCGUGGGGAGCAAACAGG
rnacentral:rRNA from 1 species